rnacentral:rRNA from 1 species
GAUGAACGCUGGCGGCGUGCUUAACACAUGCAAGUCGAACGGGAAUUACUUUAUUGAAACUUCGGUCGAUUUAAUUUAAUUCUAGUGGCGGACGGGUGAGUAACGCGUGGGUAACCUGCCUUAUACAGGGGGAUAACAGUCAGAAAUGGCUGCUAAUACCGCAUAAGCGCACAGAGCUGCAUGGCUCGGUGUGAAAAACUCCGGUGGUAUAAGAUGGACCCGCGUUGGAUUAGCUUGUUGGUGGGGUAACGGCCCACCAAGGCGACGAUCCAUAGCCGGCAUGAGAGGGUGAACGGCCACAUUGGGACUGAGACACGGCCCAGACUCCUACGGGAGGCAGCAGUGGGGAAUAUUGCACGAUGGGGGAAACCCUGAUGCAGCGACGCCGCGUGAAGGAAGAAGUAUCUCGGUAUGUAAACUUCUAUCAGCAGGGAAGAUAGUGACGGUACCUGACUAAGAAGCCCCGGCUAACUACGUG